CUCCCGCUCCCGCUCCGCUGGCGGCCGGGGAAGUUCCCACCAAAGGAGUCAGGCCGCUUUGUGUGUGCUUUCGGGGCCACCGGCCCUGGUUCUCCUCCUCCCUCCCUGCUCGCCCUGCGCCUUGGCCCCAGACGAUCAGGCUUGCCGGAGGACGCCCCCUGGGGACCCCGAGGGCGGGGUCGUUGAACGGCCGCCAGGUUCUCACAUUCAGAAUUCUCCUGCCACCAAAGAGAACCUGAAGUUCAUUUACAAGUUGACGAGCGGGAUACCUACAUGGUGUCCCUUUGCAAGACGCCAGUUAGAAAAUAACCCAAGUUGUGACCAGGAUCCACCGUUCUUGUCUCCAACUGAAACGGGGCAGUAAACCAAUAGUAUUGGUCGUUUGGCCAAGAUGAUCUUGUCUGGUUCUCAUUGCUAGGACUGCUGAAGAAAUAGGAGCCAUCAAUGUGAUUUUGUCUUUGGGAACCCCACAUGUGAAUGAAUCACCGAAUGAAUGAAUGAAAUUUUAAUCCUUAUAACAAAGAUAAGGCUGGAUCCUAAUAUAUUGCUUUAGGAUGAUUUUCAGGAAGCUCUACAAUUCCAAGCAUUUCCUCUCACAACAAUUUAAUAAAAAUAGUUAGAGUUUAUGGAGAUAUUGUGUUCCCAUAGAUGUUGUAUGAAUUUAACUCUGCAUGUGAGAUAUUUGCUGCACUAAAAGAAAGACUUAUGGAGUCUCACUCUGUCGCCAGGCUGGAGUACAGUGGCAUGAU
rnacentral:lncRNA from 1 species